UACGGAGGGUCCAAGCGUUAUCCGGAAUUAUUGGGUUUAAAGGGUUCGCAGGCGGUCUUAUAAGUCAGUGGUGAAAUCCUAUCGCUUAACGAUAGAACUGCCAUUGAUACUGUAAGACUUGAAUUUAGUUGGCGUAGGCGGAAUGAGUAGUGUAGCGGUGAAAUGCAUAGAUAUUACUCAGAACACCGAUAGCGAAGGCAGCUUACGAAGCUAUAAUUGACGCUCAUGAACGAAAGCGUGGGUAGCGAACAGG
rnacentral:rRNA from 1 species